UGGGAGUUCUGGCUCCCAGGUAAACCCUAUUUUUGGAAACGCUGCUGCUGCUUACUUACAGCACAUCUGAAAGAGGUCAUAAAAUAAAAUAUGGGCUUUCUUGAUUUAGAAGCUGGUCAUCCCUUUUUUUUUUGGAAUGAACUAUUCCAUAUAGCUUAGCAGAGGUCAAGGAGGAUGGUGUUACCUUUUCCAAGACAUGCAAGGACUGGCUACUAGCGCCCGAGAGCUGCCCACCGCCGUGCGGACUUACCGAGCCCCUGUACUUCUCCAGAGAGACUAAUUUGCCCCUGAUGUUUACAACUUUGAAAGUGUAAAAAUCAGUCUCU